rnacentral:rRNA from 1 species
UACGGAGGGUGCGAGCGUUAAUCGGAAUUACUGGGCGUAAAGGGUGCGUAGGUGGUUUGAUAAGUUGUCUGUGAAAGCCCUGGGCUCAACCUGGGAAGGCCAGACAAGACUGUUAGACUAGAGUAUGGGAGAGGGUAGUGGAAUUUCCGGUGUAGCGGUGAAAUGCGUAGAGAUCGGAAGGAACACCAGUGGCGAAGGCGGCUACCUGGCCUAAUACUGACACUGAGGCACGAAAGCGUGGGGAGCAAACAG